rnacentral:rRNA from 1 species
UACAGAGGUCUCAAGCGUUGUUCGGAUUCAUUGGGCGUAAAGGGUGCGUAGGUGGCGCCGUCAGUCAGGUGUGAAAUUUCGGAGCUCAACUCCGAAACUGCAUUGAUACUGCGGUGCUAGAGGACUGGAGAGGAGACUGGAAUUCACGGUGUAGCAGUGAAAUGCGUAGAUAUCGUGAGGAAGACCAGUGGCGAAGGCGGGUCUCUGGACAGUUCCUGACACUGAGGC